rnacentral:rRNA from 1 species
GAGCACGUAGGUGGGUUUGUAAGUCACAUGUGAAAGCCUCCUGUUCAACGGAAGAAUUGCAUCUGAAACUGCGAGUCUUGAGUGUAGGAGGGGAGAAUGGAACUUCUGGUGAAGCGGUGAAAUGCGUAUAUAUCAGAAGGAACGCCGGCGGCGAAAGCGAUUCUCUGGCCUAUUACUGACACUCAGUGUGCGAAAGCUAGGGGAGCAAACGGGAUUAGAUACCCCGGUAGUCCUAGCCGUAAACGAUGGGCACUAAGUAGAGGGGUUUU